UACGUAGGGCGCAAGCGUUAUCCGGAAUUAUGGGGCGUAAAGAGCUUGUAGGCGGUCUGUCGCGUCUGCUGUGAAAAUCCGGGGCUCAACCCCGGACUUGCAGUGGGUACGGGCAGACUAGAGUGUGGUAGGGGAGACUGGAAUUCCUGGUGUAGCGGUGAAAUGCGCAGAUAUCAGGAGGAACACCGGUGGCGAAGGCGGGUCUCUGGGCAAUAACUGACGCUGAGGAGCGAAAGCGUGGGGAGCGAACAGG
rnacentral:rRNA from 1 species